UGGGGAAUAUUGCACAAUGGGGGAAACCCUGAUGCAGCGACGCCGCGUGAGCGAUGAAGGCUUUCGAGUCGUAAAGCUCUGUCCUAUGGGAAGAUAAUGACGGUACCAUAGAAGAAAGCCCCGGCUAAUUACGUGCCAGCAGCCGCGGUAAUACGUAAGGGGCGAGCGUUGUCCGGAAUUAUUGGGCGUAAAGGGUUCGCAGGCGGAAAUGCAAGUCAGGUGUAAAAGGCAGUAGCUUAACUACUGUAAGCAUUUGAAACUGCAUAUCUUGAGAAGAGUAGAGGUAAGUGGAAUUUUUAGUGUAGCGGUGAAAUGCGUAGAUAUUAAAAAGAAUACCGGUGGCGAAGGCGACUUACUGGGCUCAUUCUGACGCUGAGGAACGAAAGCGUGGGUAGCAAACAGG
rnacentral:rRNA from 1 species